UCGGGAAUUUUGGGCAAUGGGCGCAAGCCUGAUCCAGCCAUGCCGCGUGAGUGACGAAGGCCUUAGGGUUGUAAAGCUCUUUUGCCGGGGACGAUAAUGACGGUACCCGGAGAAUAAGUCCCGGCUAACUUCGUGCCAGCAGCCGCGGUAAUACGAAGGGGACUAGCGUUGUUCGGAAUUACUGGGCGUAAAGCGCACGUAGGCGGAUUUGUCAGUCAGGGGUGAAAUCCCGGGGCUCAACCUCGGAACUGCCUUUGAUACAGCAAGUCUUGAGUCCGAUAGAGGUGGGUGGAAUUCCUAGUGUAGAGGUGAAAUUCGUAGAUAUUAGGAAGAACACCGGUGGCGAAGGCGGCCCACUGGCCCGAUACUGACGCUGAGGUGCGAAAGCGUGGGGAGCAAACAGGAUUAGAUACCCACGUAGUCCCUGAGCGGGCUGGCAAGGCGCAU
rnacentral:rRNA from 1 species